UACAGAGGUGUCAAACGUUGUCCGGAAUUACUGGGCGUAAAGGGCGUGUAGGCGGUUGCGUAAGUCAGACGUGAAAUCUCAGGGCUCAACCCUGGAAUUGCGUUUGAAACUGCGUAGCUAGAGUUCGGAAGAGGAGGGCGGAAUUCCAGGUGUAGCGGUGAAAUGCGUAGAUAUCUGGAGGAACACCUGUGGCGAAGGCGGCUCUCUGGUCCGAUACUGACGCUGAGGCGCGAAAGCUAGGGGAGCAAACAGG
rnacentral:rRNA from 1 species